CAGCAGCCGCGGGAAUACGUAGGGUGCGAGCGUUAAUCGGAUUUACUGGGCGUAAAGCGUGCGUAGGCGGCUUUUUAAGUCGGAUGUGAAAUCCCCGAGCUUAACUUGGGAAUUGCAUUCGAUACUGGGAAGCUAGAGUAUGGGAGAGGAUGGUAGAAUUCCAGGUGUAGCGGUGAAACGCGUAGAGAUCUGGAGGAAUACCGAUGGCGAAGGCAGCCAUCUGGCCUAAUACUGACGCUGAGGUACGAAAGCAUGGGGAGCAAACAGGAUUAGAUACCCCAGUAGUCCCUGUCUCUUAUAC
rnacentral:rRNA from 1 species